rnacentral:misc_RNA from 1 species
GAUGAAGAACGUAGCGAAAUGCGAUAAGUAAUGUGAAUUGCAGAAUUCAGUGAAUCAUCGAAUCUUUGAACGCACAUUGCGCCCCUUGGUAUUCCGGGGGGCAUGCCUGUUCGAGCGUCAUUAUCACCCCUCAAGCCCGGCUUGCUGUUGGACGCCGGCCCCCGUUCACCCCGGGGGCCCGUCUCAAAGAUAAUGACGGCGCCUGUGAGGACUCCGGUACACUGAGCUUUCGGGCACGUACUCGGCUAGAAGUCCAGGCCCGUCGCAACUUUUUUUUAAAGUAAAAUUUAUUAAACAAGGUUGACCUCGGAUCAGGUAGGAAUACCCGCUGAACUUAAGCAUAUCAAUAAGCGGAGGA